UACGGGGGGGGCAAGCGUUGUUCGGAAUUACUGGGCGUAAAGAGCUCGUAGGCGGUUUGUCGCGUCUGCUGUGAAAACCUAAGGCUCAACCUUGGGCUUGCAGUGGGUACGGGCAGACUAGAGUGCGGUAGGGGUGACUGGAAUUCCUGGUGUAGCGGUGAAAUGCGCAGAUAUCAGGAGGAACACCGGUGGCGAAGGCGGGUCUCUGGGCCGUAACUGACGCUGAGGAGCGAAAGCAUGGGGAGCGAACAGG
rnacentral:rRNA from 1 species